rnacentral:rRNA from 1 species
CCUACGGGAGGCAGCAGUGGGGAAUAUUGCACAAUGGGGGAAACCCUGAUGCAGCGACGCCGCGUGAGUGAAGAAGUAAUUCGUUAUGUAAAGCUCUAUCAGCAGGGAAGAAAAUGACGGUACCUGAGUAAGAAGCACCGGCUAACUACGUGCCAGCUACCGCGGUAAUACGUAGGGGGCAAGCGUUAUCCGGAUGUACUGGGUGUAAAGGGAGCGUAGACGGCAGUGAAAGUCUGGAGUGAAAGUCGGGGGUUCAACCCCCGGACUGCUCUGGAAACUGUACGGCUGGAGUGCAGGAGAGGUAAGUGGAAUUCCUGGUGUAGCGGUGAAAUGCGUAGAUAUUAGGAGGAACACCAGUGGCGAAGGCGGCAUACUGGACUGUAACUGACGUUGAAGCUCGAAAGCGUGGGGAGCAAACAGGAUUAGAUACCCGAGUAGUC